rnacentral:rRNA from 1 species
UAGGGAAUCUUCCGCAAUGGACGCAAGUCUGACGGAGCAACGCCGCGUGAGUGAAGAAGGAUUUCGGUUCGUAAAACUCUGUUGUUAGAGAAGAACAGCGCAUAGAGUAACUGUUAUGCGUGUGACGGUAUCUAACCAGAAAGCCACGGCUAACUACGUGCCAGCAGCCGCGGUAAUACGUAGGUGGCAAGCGUUGUCCGGAUUUAUUGUGCGUAAAGCGAGCGCAGGCGGUCAAUUAAGUCUGAUGUGAAAGCCCCCGGCUCAACCGGGGAGGGUCAUUGGAAACUGGUUGACUUGAGUGCAGAAGAGGAGAGUGGAAUUCCAUGUGUAGCGGUGAAAUGCGUAGAUAUAUGGAGGAACACCAGUGGCGAAGGCGACUCUCUGGUCUGUAACUGACGCUGAGGUUCGAAAGCGUGGGUAGCAAACAGG